rnacentral:rRNA from 1 species
GACCUCAAAUCAGGUAAGAACACCCGCUGAACUUAAGCAUAUCAAUAAGCGGAGGAAAAGAAAAUAACAAUGAUUCCCCUAGUAACUGCGAGUGAAGAGGGAUAAGCUCAAAUUUUAAAUCUGUUUGGUUCUACCUGACAGAGUUGUAAUUUAAAGAGACGUUUUCUGUGUCUUGAGUUAAUCAAAAUCCUUUGGAAUGAGGUAUCAUGGAGGGUGACAAUCCCGUUCAUGGUUAAUUCUAAGAUACUUUAUGAUGCGUUUUCGAAGAGUCGAGUUGUUUGGGAUUGCAGCUCAAAAUGGGAGGUAAAUUUCUCCUAAGGCUAAAUAUUGGCGAGAGACCGAUAGCGAACAAGUACCGUGAGGGAAAGAUGAAAAGAACUUUGAAAAGAGAGUUAAACAGUACGUGAAAUUGUUGAAAGGGAAACGAUUGAAGUCAGUCGUACCAGCGGGAAAUCAACCUUUCGAGUGGGGGUUUUGGAGUUUUGAAGAGUGGUUAAAACCUUUGAGAUUUCAAAAAUUUCGCUCUUUUGGUGUACUUUCUCGUGGGUAGGUUAACAUCGAUUUUGAUCAUCAUAAAAAGAUUGGAGGAAUGUAGCUUCGAUCUUGUAUUGAAGUGUUAUAGCCUUUGGUAAAUGUGAUGAUUAGGAUCGAGGAUUGCAACGAAUACCCUUUUGGGCUAUCCGCCUGAUCUCUGAUACGUGGCCUUGGUAUCGAAAGCGUGCUUAUGGUAUUGAGGUAUUACGGUCAAAAGGUUAGAACGGAUUACAUUCGUUAAGGAUGUUGACGUAAUGGCUUUAAACGACCCGUCUUGAAACACGGACCAAGGAGUCUAACAUAUAUGCGAGUGUUUGGGUGUUGAAACCCUUACGCGAAAUGAAAGUAAUUCUGGUGAGAUCCAUUUUAUUAUGGUGCAUCAUCGACCGAUCAGGAUAUUU